UGUUUCCAGUAUCUCUUUUCCUCAAGUCAAGGGCAGAAACUUCUAGUAUGGUGUUGGGCCCGAUACAUAAAAAGCAAAAAAAAGAAAUAGAUGUUUAUUGAAGUUGACUAGUGAAAGACUGUAUACUUAAAACACACACAACAACAUCCCAAGAAGACCAUUUACUUUCUUCAUAAUCAUAACAGCAAAUUAGAUUUAGUCGGCUGUUUCAAGACACAGUAAGACUUGGGGAGUCCAAAUUCAUGCUAUGAGUGUUUGCUUAUUUGCCUAUUGUUUUCUUCAUUUGUUACUGUGGAUGGAGGCAUUGCAGGUAACUAUGGUAACACAAAAAUCGAACACAAACAUCCUAUGGGGUGCUGUGCUUUCAUCUCACCGAAGACAGUAGUUUAUAGGUCAGCCAGUUCAGCAGUUAGACUGGAGGGCAUGAACGCCUAGAAAGCUGUGUUGUUGUUAAAUAUUCAAGAAAGCCUCCCAAAGAGCAGAGAUGAGGAGUGCCACCCUGAGUGUGUGGGAUAAGCAUAAAAAGAUAAGAACUGAUUUUCAUCGAACAUUCACCAAUGUGUUAUGCGUUUUAAAAAUUACCCUCUGCAUCCAGCCAGAAAUCUAGAAGGCAGUAAACAUCACGUACAUAUUUUCUGUCUUCGGGGAAAUGCUAUACUCCAGGAACUGAGAUAAUAAAAAAAAACAUUACAUUAUGAAAACUGAUGCACUUUUAGCAAAAAAAAAAAAAAAAAGUGCCUUGAGAAUUCAGAUGUUGAGAGAUGAGGAAAGAACACUGCAAAAGCCAGGCCUUUUCAAAGCCUGUGUGCUUCUCUUCAGCUCCUUUCCUAUCCCUGUCACACCCCUACCCGAUGCCCCACCAGGCCGCCAUUACCCUGCCAAAAACCAAUCUCUCCUCUAGUUUGCUUCCUUCUCAGCAUUUCUCACACUCUGUAAUGAUGCUGCUUAUUAGUCUUCCCCCGUCUACACUGUACCACGACAGAGGCCUCCUUUACUGAGGUCUGCAUGGCGAAAAGAGUGCGCGUCUGGUAUACUGAAACGGCUGAAUCCAAACUCCAUGUUCAACAAGGCCUCUGUUGCUGGACGCUUAGGUUGGUUCCAUAAUUUAACUGCUGCGAACGGUGCUGUGAUAACAUUGGUGCAGAAGCAGCUCUGUGGCAUGCUCACGGGGAGCUCAGGAGUGGAUUUGUUUAUUGUCGUUUAUCCAGCCUGUCUCGAAGAUGAAUGGAGUGGAUCUAAAAUGAGAAAUUUCCCUGGAAAUAGAGGAAUUUGAGGACAUCUGUGCAGACAACCAUCAGGCUAGCUAUAUGUUCUUUGUUCAAAUCAGUCUUCAUUUGGAGAUCACAUAUCUUCCCCCUCCUCUGCCUUACUCUCCAGGAGCCCUAUAAAGUUCAAGAGUACUACCCUGGGGCUAGGGCUGCUCAGUGGUAGAGUGCUUACUUAGCUAAUGCUAAUGAUGCCUUGGGGUUCCCAGGAGCAAUUAGUAAUUAGCUGUCCUUACAGAUGGCCUUUGCCUUAUCUCUAAUGUUAACCUUUGAUGGGUUGAUUAUCUUCAAGAAAGGUCUGGUGUCUGUCUGUCCAGAUGCACACCUCACUGCACUAGUCCGGUAUAAAUGAAGCCUAAUGGGCAUAUCCAGACUUCAGGCAUGGAACUUGUUAGAAAACCCACAGCAAAGGAUUAGCCUGUCAACAUCCAACUCCCUCCUCCCCAUAAGGUGAAGACAUUCAAGCUAAAAGGAGGAAGUAGCAGCCUGUCCUUGUGAUUGGAGGGGACUGGAUAUCCCAGUGUUGAUGUGCAGUAUCGCCUAAUCUCUCACACUCUCUUGCCAGAUCAGUUUCCAGGUUGGGAGUAUGGCCAGCCCCUCUCUCUCACUGUGUGGGCUGAGAUCCAAGCCCAUGGUUUAGAGCCGUGAGCUGUCAUCUCGUGGCAGGGUUUCCUGUGGCAAUGCUCAGCACUGAGGAACUUGCUCUCUAACCUCUAUUAAUGCUGUAUUAAGCACAAGGCUAUAUUGUUUUCUAGGCAGCCUCACAGAGGGCCCACUCCUUGUCUGGAGGAAUAGCCUGGAUGAUGUCAGUAUUGGGAAAAUUGUUCUUCCAUCCUAGGAUAUCUGGGAUGGUAGUGGGCUGGUGCUGUUGGAAAUAGUGUGGUAAUGAAGAGCCAUGCAUUAUUUCUUGUUAAGAAUUUCCAUUGUGAGAAACAUACCCAAUAGACUCCAGCAUUUAAACACUGGUGUCAUCGUUUACUUUCUAUUGUUGUAAUAAGGACCAGAGCCAAGAGCAACUUGAAAAGAAAAGGGAUUAUUUGGCUUAUAUGUCCUGAAACAGUCAACCAUUGAGAGAAGCCACGGCAGAAAUCCAAGGUGGAUGGAAACCUGGAUGCAAGAACUAAAGCAGAGAUGAGUGAAAAAUGCUUACUGACUUGCUCCCCAUGGCUUGCUCAACUUACUUUCUUGUAUCACCCAGGACCACUUGCCUAGGGGUGGUACUGCCCCCAGUGGGCGGUGCUCUCCCUUAUCAAACAUUAAUCAAAAAAUAUCCCACCGGCUUCUCUAAAGGCUAACAUGAAAGAGGCAAUCCCUCAGUUGAGGAUUUUUUUUUCUUCCCAUAUAACUAUAGCUUGUAUCAAGGUGACAAUAAAACUAACCAGCGCACUUGGUUCCCAGUUGGUGGCCCUAUUUGGGGACAUUUAGGUGGUACAGACUUGUAAGAAGUAUAUCACUUGGGUUGGGCUUUUAAAUUAAAAACCUUGUGCCACUUCUAGUUAACUCUUCUUUGUUUAUUUGUUUGUUUGUUUAUUAUGUAUACAGUAUUCUGCCUGCACAUAUACCUGCAGGCCAGAAGAGGGCACCAGAUCUCAUUACCAAUUGUUGUGAACCACCGUGUGGUUGCUGGGAAUUGAACUCAGGACCUCUGGAAGAGCAGCCAGUGCUCUUAACCACUGAGCCAUCUCUCCAGCCCAUGUUAACUCUUCUUUGUGUUUCCAUGUGAAGACAUGAGCUCUCAGCUUCAUGCUCUGGUCAUGAUGCUUAUUGCUUGCUGUGA